GGCAAAUUAAAAUGAAUCUACUACACGGUUUGUUUUUGGUGCUAUUUAUCGUUGAAUUUUCGGAACUUCAAGGAAAACAUGGCUUUUUCUCGCAAGCUCUUCUCAAGGGCGAAGUAAUUGAAAAUAUGUCACAGGCAAAGUUUGUAGCUGGAAUCUAUGCCCCUACAA